GAGACCACUCAGUUCUCAAUCUAUCAUAUCUAUCGUCUCUCUCGUCUUAUAAUCUUUCAACCUUAGAACAAAUUGCGCCAUUUUCACAAGUGACUGACCUCCCAAACAUCACAAAAAAUUAACCCUGUAUUCCCCAUAAUCCUCCAAGCAUUAUGCUCGUUUAAGUCUUUUGCAAAUUACCAUCUCCAUUGAAUCAAGUCAAUCCUGAUUUAAAAGAAGGAAAAAAAAAGGUUUAAAACCCCUCAAAGUCAUUGAGUCUAAGAUGAUGAUUAGGGCUGGAAUCGCCCUUGGUGGUUUGCUCUCAGCGAGAACAAUCGAUUGAGGCCGAUUUCGGAUCAAAUCAAUGUCCGUAUGGGUUGAUGAAGCCUCGUCCGCAUACUUAUGUAGAUAUCCCAGUUUCUACCUCGUUCUUCUAAAUUUCACUUGUUGCGUUUUCUUACCACUGUCCCCUCAGUUGAUUUUUUUCUCUCCUACGUUUUGUUUAGUGUUUUAAAUUGCUAUGUUUGCAUGAUUGAAAUCAAGUCAUUUCAAUGCAAUGUUUAGUUCAUUUCAGAUUAGUAUUUGUCAGUUUUACUUUGUACUGUUUAGCUGUUCAAUUCUUCUUUUGGGCCAAUGUUCAAAAUGUGAAAUUGUUUGUUUUCUUUAGCUUGAUUGGGGAAUUCACCUACCUAAAAUGAAAUUGGGUAUGUUGAGGGUGGAAAGCCAAAUCAGUUGUCGUUUGGGUAGGGGCCCAAGGGUAUUUGGGCUGCUUGGGGUGCAAGGUCUGUCAGUAGGUAAAUACAGGAUGAUGGGAGGGUAGCUUAGGAAUAGGACAUAGGGGAAUCUUUAGUGUAACUAAAGAAGUUUCUAGUAGGGGUUUUGUUUUAAAUUUUAACCCGAAUUGAUCCACAAGUCAUAAUUUAGGACUGACUAGCAAAAAAGAAAAGCUGAAAAAGGGACGGAUUGGCAGAAUAAAUUCUUGAGGGCUGCCCUAGUAACUUGCCUAUUAAGGCAUAUGUUACUUGCACCUCAAGGCAGAGACUAGACCCAUAGAAUUUAAGAGCUAAGAAUACAAACAUUACAAAAAACUAUAAUUUGGAGAGAAAAUUUUGUUCUAUUGAAAUUCUUCUCUGAUUCAUAAAGUUCUCAACCUCUGAAGCACUUGUGAAUGACUUGGAGCUUGAAAUAUGGUUUGAAUUAGAAAAAGGGGCUAAAAACCCAAAAAUCAAAUGGCUGACUGUUUCUUUUAAUAUUUCAUUGAUCGCUAUGAUAAUCUGAUCACUGUUCGAUCUCUGAAUAACAUUUUGGGGUCUGAAAUAGAAUGAAAUCGAGUGUGUAAAAACUGGUUUAAAGUUUGCUCGUUUGACAAUCAUUUGAAUUGAUUACUCUGGGCUAUCAAGCAUCACCGCUAGGUUUAAAGUCUUUCUUGCUAGCUGUGUUGUUGCUGAUUCUCACUGUUUCCUACUGCUGAUUCUUUGCCCCUGUUUUAUUUCCUAUUUCUAGGUAUACUACGAUCCUCGGAGAUUACAUUUAAACAUGUAAAUUGAAGCAUGAUCUGAGAAGGAAAUAAACAUGGCACUAUUUAUGGAUUUCACUUGUUUUAUGCUAUACUUGUAAAGCAUGAAUUUAUGUAUUCUCCAAAGGAGAAUAUUGUUAGUUUGAUCCUGUUAGGUUGUGUAGUAAUUUCUUUCUGAUUUGGGCCUGUUUUGGUCCGUCUGUUAAAAGUGAAGUGAAGUUCUAGGUACAUAUGCAUGUUUAGAGAUUUUGGGUGAUUGUAAGAACUGUGGGAAUUAGGUGGUUGAGUGACUCCUUCAAUUCAAUAAUAUGCUAAUCAAGUAAAUUAGUUAUGGGUUCAUGUAUAACUUUCACCGAGGAAUUCCUAAAAUUCUGGAUUGUGGUUGUGAUUAAGGGAAAUGUGAUCAUAUAGUUUAUUGAUUCAUUAAUGUUCUAACAUUCAAGGAGCGGAUAAACAGUUAGUGGAAAUGUUGGAUCGAUUUGGUGUGAAAUUUGACACUGCUCACUUCUCUUAAUCUAGAUAAAAUGGUUCAACCAUGAAUGUGUUUUUUUUAGCCUCAAGUUUCAAUAACAG
rnacentral:lncRNA from 1 species